rnacentral:lncRNA from 1 species
GCGAAAGAAGUUUGUGUGGGGACUGUGGGCAGUGAACGCGUUGGGAACAAUAUGGAAAACUGGGAGCCGCCUUGGAAUCUACAGGGCCGGAGAGACCGAGGGGCUCACUAGGUUGACCAGGCUGGUCUUGAACUCCUGGCCUCAAGCCAUCCUCCCACCUCAGCCUCCCAAAGUGCUGGGAUUACAUGCAUGAGCCACCACAUCCAGCCUACCUAAAAUAUUGAAUGCUGUUAAUAAAUCUCCUGAGGCCAGCAUAAGAAGGUGAUGGGCAAAACUAAUGCAGGGUUUCAGUUGUGCAAUUUCACCAUUAGCAAAGCUUUUUGCUGAAAUCUGGCUUUUCAAAGGGAGAGUAUCCAGAAACAGAAGAUGCUGCUCUGAGAGGCUCUUCCUAAUAGAACUGCUGCUUCAGUUUAGCUUGAAAAAGCCCACACCGAGUUCCUAAUGACAGACAUCUGAACACCGGGUCUUCCCACGAGCAAGACCAUGCUAUGCCUCCUGCUCGCUCUGUUCUAUAAGCAACCCACAGAUUGCUCCCUGUGAAGAGGAGCCUGCCAGGGGAGCAGCAUUCCACCAGACCCUGAUUUAGCAAGAUAUUUCCGUAUCAUUCCCCCAACCAGCUGGAAGUCCUCCAUUGCUCUUGUGUAAAAAUCUAACUCAUCUCGCUGAAUUUCCUGAUUUAAAAGUCUAAUUCAUUUCACCAAAAGUGUGACAGAAGGAAACCAAGUACACCAUCUCUCUC